UACGUAGGGUGCAAGCGUUAAUCGGAAUUACUGGGCGUAAAGCGUGCGCAGGCGGUUUUGUAAGUUUGUCGUGAAAUCCCCGGGCUCAACCUGGGAAUGGCGAUGAAGACUGCAAGGCUAGAGUUUGGCAGAGGGGGGUAGAAUUCCACGUGUAGCAGUGAAAUGCGUAGAUAUGAUGGAGGAACACCGAUGGCGAAGGCAGCCCCCUGGGUCAAAACUGACGCUCAUGCACGAAAGCGUGGGGAGCAAACAGG
rnacentral:rRNA from 1 species